CCUACGGGUGGCAGCAGUGGGGAAUUUUGGACAAUGGGCGCAAGCCUGAUCCAGCUAUUCCGCGUGUGGGAAGACGGCCUUCGGGUUGUAAACCACUUUUGUAGAGAACGAAAAGUCUGUUGAUAAUACCGAUAGAUGAUGACGGUACUCUAAGAAUAAGCACCGGCUAACUACGUGCCAGCAGCCGCGGUAAUACGUAGGGUGCGAGCGUUAAUCGGAUUUAUUGGGUUUAAAGGGUGCGUAGGCGGCGCUUCAGGUCAGCGGUGAAAUACCGGGGCUCAACCCCGGGGCUGCCGUUGAAAGCGGAGCGCUAGAAUUCCGAUGCCGUCGGAGGAAUGUGUGGUGUAGCGGUGAAAUGCAUAGAUAUCACACAGAACACCGAUUGCGAAGGCAUCUGACGAAUCGGAGAUUGACGCUGAUGCACGAAAGCGUGGGUAUCGAACAGGAUUAGAUACCCUUGUAGUC
rnacentral:rRNA from 1 species